rnacentral:snRNA from 1 species
GUAGGCACGUGCCGGAUC